UUCGUCCCAUCACUACUAUGGUGGAAAAACUUAAUGUCAAAGAGCUUGGACCAGAUCAGCCCGACGUAAAGAUAAGCCAGCAGGACAAGGAGAGAGAUAAGGCAUGGAUGAGUCAGGAGUUACGGACAUGAAACAUUUUUCUGAGAAGGUGAAGAAACACGAGUCAUCCCGGGCACACAUGGACAACAACACUGUGAAGCUAGCCAUGCUAGGCAGCAGAGCUAACGUUGCCAUGCAGCUCGACAAGGGAACAACAGCAGCUGGGUGCAGAGGUUUUCCACACCAUCCUGAGCCAUGCAAAAGAAGAUUCUUGUCACCACACCCAUGACCACAGCCGAAUCAGAAAGGUGCUUUUCCACUUUAAAGAGGAUUAAGACUUUCCUGAGGAACACCAUGACACAGGAUGGGCUGAAUGCUCUUGCCAUGCUCUCCAUGGAAAAACAAGCUUGUCACAAACAUUCCUGACUUCAAUAAAAAGCUCAUCGAGAGCUUUGCUACUCAGAAGGACAGAAGGGCAAAAUUUCUGUACAAAUGAGGUAUCACACACACACAAAUGCAUCCACUUGAUCUUUGUAUAAAGUUGACCUUGGCACAACACUCCAGAAAUAUUUAACAGUGUAAAUUUCUGGCAUUUUGUCUAAGUAGUGUUUACUACCAUUACUGUAACAGUGACCUGCUCAUAAUUUUUCGUGUUCACUCAAAUGUUGAAAUUAAACAAAAUGUUUUUGUUA